UUAAGCCUUAAAGUAUUAUAUGUUCUAUAUAGUUUAGGCUUACAGGAACUCAAAAGAACCAUUUUUCAGUUUUGUGUAUUGCGUGAAAGACAACAGAAGUACCGUUGCGCUAUUUUGUCUCUCUCGAAUACUUUAUCCUCACGGCUCUAAUUCCCGGAAUACCAGAUCGUUAACGUUAACAACACAUCUGAUCUCGUUUUUUUACUUAUUCUACUCCUUCUGCCCAUUUAUGGAUUGAAUACACAUUUUAUAAAUAAUUGAAUCACCGAUCAGAUAUAUAUGAUUCAGAAGCUUGCAGAGAGUAAUAACUAAAGAGAGUUUGAUCGCAAAAUGAGUACUGUUGGUGAGGUUCGUCGUGUCUCUACAACAAAAGUAUGGCCAACAAGUUAUUACAUCCAUAAGUCUACUGAUCAUAAUAACCAUAAGCGGAUUGAUUUAAAUCCAUGGGAUGUAGAAUUUUUGCGACUGGUAUAGAUGCAAAGCAGCAAAGGUGUCUUCUCUUCGCUAAGCCGCACAAUCAUCAUUACCCUGCAGGCGACAAGAUGAAGAAGAAAUAACUAACAGUAAUUUUAUCAAUAACAUGAUAAGUCAUCUUAAAACUUCUUUGUCAUAUACACUUGAUCAUAUCAAUCCUCUAGCUGGUCAUCUUGGCAUCCAAAAAAACGAAGAUGAUAACACGAUCUCCAACUAUGAGGGUGCAGGUUUCAUUCAUGCCACUGCAGACUUAUCGAUCUAUCCUCUAGCUGGUCAUGCUGGCAUCCAAAAAAACGAAGAUGUUAACACGAUCUCCAACUAUGAGGGUGCAGGUUUCAUUCAUGCCACUGCAGACUUAUCGAUAGAGGACAUCGUCGCUCAGCCUUACGUCCGUCCAAGCAUAAUAGAUUCAUCGUUUCCCCCUUGUUAUUUACCUCUGGUAAAUAGGUGGGCAUCCAAACCAUCACUGGUUGGCAAUUUGUAUUUCAAUCAUAAAAUAAUAUAUGGAAGAUCCUUGUAAUCCCCUUGUCCAAUGUGGGAUUAUUUGUUGAGGCUGAUCAGAUAUAUUAUCAUAUUUCUGUGUCAACUUCUUUAAUCAGCACCAUCUUUACAAGCGCAGCUUUUCUUCAUUAUGCAAAUUAUGUUACUCCAGCGACUGGUUCUCCACCUCUUUCUCUAGAGCAAGUAAUGAAGUUGGUAAAUUGGCAUCCCUUCUCAUCGUUCUCAAACAUCAACUGCACAUACAAAGUUAGGGACCUUUAAUCAAGAUGUAGGGUGUAUUGAAUCUUUAAUUUUUAAGGAUCGAAUGUCCCCUCAAAGGCACUUCCCACUAUGAGUUUCAAGUUUUGAAUUGAUAUAAUGCCAGUGAGGUCGAUCAUGCAAAAGUCAUUUCGCAAUGGAUCAUCUUAAUAUUUUCGGAGACCAGGAACCAUCCAAUUUGAAAGUUUCAGAGGUCCACAACUGCUAGAUAUUCGUGUUGGAUCCGAAUGUGGUCGCCCAUAUUGUAUGUGGCAGGUCCGUAGAGUUCCAUAUUCCUUAGGGUUUGGAAUAUAUAUAAGCAUCUCUAACAUGUGUAGAAGUAAGUGAUUCCCACGAUAUCACACCCAAGUUUUACCAUUAGAAAAGUGGUAACUCUAACCCUAAAAGAGAGUUACCAUCAGGAGAAAAGGUUUCAAGUUCUUAUAUUGUGAAUCAAGUUUGUGCUCAUUUUUGGUGAUUGUAGUACCUGUUGAUCGUCGUGUUGAAUUGUUGUUGUUGCUGCUGUUGUUCCUUGUUCUUGCUAAUCGGAGUUCAAGUUCAAGAGGUUGCAUGAGUGAGAUAACGUCUCCCGAAGUUGGCCAUGCGCGUCUGUACGCUGCUGAAAUUUGGAGAAGACGAUGAACAGUAACCGAGUCAAAUCGGCGAGUCGACCCGAAUUAAAUAGGUGAGUCAACCCGAUCCAGGAUCGGUGGUUCGGUUCGUGGUUCAGAGCGGUUGUUAGGUUCGAGGUUCAGACCAUCUGUUCGGUCCGCAGUUCAGGCCGGUGGUUCGGUUCGCUGUCCAGACCGAGUUAUUUGUUUUCAUUUGUUUCUCUAUUUGUGGUUGCCGGAUCAACUCCAAUUUUGGUACCCUAAGACUAAAUGGCAUCCAAGAACAUCAUUGUUGAUUUGAAUAAGGGAGAAAAACUUGAUGGCGACAAAUAUAACAUCUGGCGUCGAAAGAUCGUUUUUCUUCUGCAUGAUGAUGGGCUGCAGGAAAUGACUGAGCAUGUGAUUCCUCGGCCUGAGGAGGGUACAAAGUCUCAACACCAUCGCAACCUUGAGGCUUACCAGGAAUGGAUUAAGAAGGAUCUCAGUGCUCGUCAUAUGAUCCUGAGAUCAAUGCACAAUGAUCUCAUUGGCGAGUUUGAGAACCACCAGUUUGCUCAUGACAUGUUAGAGGCAGUCAGGCAGAAAUUUGGAGUUACCUCUGUGGCUAAGUUGUGUGCUUUAACAAUGAAGUUUGACACUUUUCAAAAGAAGACGAAUGUUACAAUGAAGCAACAUUUGAGGACAAUGUCGUCAAUGAUAUGCGAACUUUAGGCUGCAGGUCAUCACUUGACAGAUGAACAACAGGUACAAGCUUUUAUUCGUUCGUUACCUAACUCUUGGGAUCAGAUGAAGCAAACCAUGACACAUAAUGACAAUGUCCGUACUUUUGAGGAUAUUUCUCGUCGUGUGGAACUAGAGGUCGAGCGCUUGGAAGAUGCUAAGACUGACAGUUCUGUUUUCGCUGCUGAAUCUGUUUUGCAUAAGACCAAUGGGUCUAAGCGCGAGAGGGGUAAGGGUUCUUCUGCUAAGAAUCCUCGUGAUGGAUCUGGCUCAUCCACUACCAAAGCUCCUAAGCGCAAAAGCAUGCUGGUAAGAAAUGCUUUGAAUGUCAUAAUAAGAACUGACACUUGGCUCGUGAAUGCACUGAGCCAAAGAAGGUAAUUUCUGAACCUCUUCCUCGCUAUGAAUGUUUUGUUUCUAGUCAAGCAUUAGUUGCUCUUUUUGGGGAGAUGCGUUACCGAAUGUUGCCUAUGUCCUUAAUCGUGUGCCUUCGAAGUCAAUGCCUUCCACCCCAUAUGAAUUAUGGACCGGCAGAAAACCUAAAUUGGGUAAUUUGCGACCAUGGGGUUCAGCUUCUUAUGUACACAAUAGUUCUCAUUGGUAUGGGAAACUGGGGCCUCGAGCGAAAAAGGUAUAUCUUUAUCAGAUAUUCUAAUCACUCAAAAGGCCAUUUGUUCAUUGGUGAACAACCUGAUGGAAGUGUUACUGAGAUUGAGCCACGUGAUGUAGAUUUCCUAGAACAGGAUUUUCCUAGAAGGAACGAGGUAGGGGAGAUAUUAGCCUCUUUUAGGUAGAAGAGUUAAUGGAAGACGCACCAAUUCGUCUAGUUGAGAAUAGCGAAGAAAUUCCUCGUUUUCCUAGGGAAAGUGGAAGUGUUCCACCUGAUAAUGGAUUGGCUCCAUCAAAUCAGGAUCCCCAAUCUCGGAGAAGUGAACGUGGAAAAAUCCCUCGUCGUCGUUUUCAGAUUAAGGGGGAAAGUUUCAUGGUUUUUUCACAUGAUGACGCAGAGCCUAAGAAUUUCAAAGAGGCUAUGUCAUAUCCUAAAAGGGAAAAUGGAUUAUUGCACAGAAAAAAGAAAUAUAAUCAAUGAGGAUAAAUGGUGUAUGGCAAUACGUUGACCUCCUAGAAGGGCGCAAGGUUGUUGGAAAAAAAAGGGUUUUCAAAGCCAAACGCAAUGCGGAUGGUUUAGAUGAAAGAUAUACGGCUCGCCUUGUGGCGAAAGGCUACACCAAACAGGAGGGUGUUGACUACGAGGAAACUUUCUCCCCUGUGGUGAGAACUUCCUCGAUACGCCUUAUGAUAGCUAUUGUCUGAUGUGAUUUGUUGAUAAUGGUAAAAAUGGUUCGAUUCUCAGACUUGUGAAGGAUAUUAAUUAGACUUAAAUUAUAAUAUUAAAAUA